rnacentral:rRNA from 1 species
GAUGAACGCUGGCGGCGUGCCUUACACAUGCAAGUCGAGCGAACAGACGUGGAUCUUGCGCCUCUGACGUUAGCAGCGGGCGGGAGAGUAACACGUGGAUAAGCUAAAUAGAAGACUGGGAUAACUACGGGAAACCGGAGCGAAUACCGGAUAAAAUAUUGAACCGCAUGGUUCAAUAGUGAAAGACGGUUUUGCUGUCACUGAAAGAUGUGACCGGGCCGCAUUAGCGAGGUGGUAAGGUAACGGCUUACCAAGGCAACGGUGAGUAGCCGACCUGGGAGGGUGAUCGGCGCCACUGGGAGUGAGAGACCGCCCAGACUCCUACUGGGGGCAGGCGUAGAGAACCAUGCGAAACAGGCGAAGGGCUGACGGAGCAACGCGGCGUGGGUUAUGGGGGCCUUCCGGCGGUAAAACACAGUUAUUACGGAAGAACAAAUUUUUAAGUAACUAUACACGCCUUGACGGUACCUGAUCAAUAAGCCACGGCUAACUCCGUG